GUUUGAUCAUGGCUCAGGAUGAACGCUGGCGGCGUGCUUAACACAUGCAAGUCGAACGAAGCACUUUAUUUGAUUUCCUUCGGGACUGAUUAUUUUGUGACUGAGUGGCGGACGGGUGAGUAACGCGUGGGUAACCUGCCUUGUACAGGGGGAUAACAGUUGGAAACGGCUGCUAAUACCGCAUAAGCGCACGGCAUCGCAUGAUGCAGUGUGAAAAACUCCGGUGGUAUAAGAUGGACCCGCGUUGGAUUAGCUAGUUGGUGAGGUAACGGCCCACCAAGGCGACGAUCCAUAGCCGACCUGAGAGGGUGACCGGCCACAUUGGGACUGAGACACGGCCCAAACUCCUACGGGAGGCAGCAGUGGGGAAUAUUGCACAAUGGGCGAAAGCCUGAUGCAGCGACGCCGCGUGAGCGAAGAAGUAUUUCGGUAUGUAAAGCUCUAUCAGCAGGGAAGAUAAUGACGGUACCUGACUAAGAAGCACCGGCUAAAUACGUGCCAGCAGCCGCGGUAAUACGUAUGGUGCAAGCGUUAUCCGGAUUUACUGGGUGUAAAGGGAGCGCAGGCGGUGCGGCAAGUCUGAUGUGAAAGCCCGGGGCUCAACCCCGGUACUGCAUUGGAAACUGUCGUACUAGA
rnacentral:rRNA from 1 species